CUCUUGCAACGAUGAAGAACGCAGCGAAAUGCGAUACCUAGUGUGAAUUGCAGAAUUCCGCGAAUCAUCGAGUUUUUGAACGCAAGUUGCGCCCGAGGCUCGUCUGAGGGCAUGCCUGCCUGAGCGUCCGC
rnacentral:rRNA from 1 species